GCCACAGUUCCUCUGCAAAGAUCGUGAACUUUCCCAGCGCCUGCGCCAGGCAUGGGAUGCCGCUCGCGCCAGGCUCCUCGAGAGCAAAUAGAGAACUUUGACCUGCAGCCCACAACAAGCUUUGAGAUGUGAUAAUUGAUCUGGCCUAACACUUGUCAAACCUAUCCAUUCUGAAGGAAAUCAGCCCUGAGUGCUCACUGGAAGGACAGAUCAUGAAGCUGAGGCGCCAAUACUUUGGCCACCUCAUGAGAAGAGAAGACUCCCUGGAAAAGACCCUGAUGUUGGGAAUGAUGGAGGGCACAAGGAGAAGGGGAUGACAGAGGACGAGAUGGUUGGACAGUGUUCUCGAAGCUACCAACAUGAGUUGCAGUUGGUAGUGGAAGACAGGAGUGCCUGGCCUGCUCUGGUCCAUGGGGUCACAAAGAGUUGGACACGACUAAACAACAACAACAACACUGGUUGCAGAACAUUUAACCACGAUGCUAGUAGCCAAAAUAUGUAGGAAGCAGUGGCAGCUGCUGCCCAUUGUGACUUGUGGGGCAGAAAACGAAGUGUCUUGUGUGCAAAGCAAGCUUGGGCCAAAUGCACUUAAGUAGCUUCUUGUAGAGGACACUCUCCUUGAGGUUUGUGUAUAUGAUUUAAGGUAGCUGAAAGAUUAUUGUGAGGUGCAGGUCCUCGUUUCCUCUAUGCAUUUUGACCAGUGUUAUUUUCCUAGAAAAAUGUGCUGGAACCCAACAUGAUCACCUCCCUUGUUCGCUUAGAAUGGCAAUGGUGUCCACCUGAGAGGUGCUGGAACUGAGUUCCAGCAACUUCUGGCUGGGGGGGGGGAGGCUGAAUUUUUGGCUGCUAUGGGCAUUAGGGACAUGCCCAUGAUGAUGGUGUCUUGCAUUCAGAGAACAGGGCCAAAUGCAAUUCAGGGCCAUCUCAUAGAUGAGGACACUUUCCCAGAGGUGUGGGUAUUAUCAUUUGGGGUGGCCCAAACUGUACUGUGGGGAGCACACACCCAGUUCCUUUUUCUGGAAUUGUCUAAGUUAAUGUGCAUUCAUAAAUGGCCCACACAAACAAAAGGUUUUGAUUGUUUAAACUGCUGCUCUUGAAAGGAGGAGCCCCCACCCAGAUCAUGGAGACAUAGGAGAUGAGGCCAUUUCGGGUUCAGGGGCAUAUGGACUUCUUUUUAAGAUUCCUGACUUAGGUGUAUUUCCAGCUUUUGUGCAACUAAGGAUCUAGGAACUAGUAAUCAACUUUAGCUUGCUAAGCCAACAACAGUGAAGCAAUCACAGCAAUAGUUCAUGCUUGAAUUUGCCCACUGUCAAACUUAGAUUUCUGAAGAAAGGAAAUCAAGUUUAUUUUCCCUGACACAGAUGCUUCUCCAAUGACAGCAUGGGGCUGGGUUAAAAAUAAUUUGGUUUUCACAAUUUAUCUCAUCCUUUUACUCAUCAGAAAACCUGCUCAUGUAAAAAAAAAGUACUAAAAGCAACAACACUGGUAUUACCACUCUUAUUUGUCUAGUCAUGGCAUGCAGGUGGCACUUUUCCCAUAAAUGAAUCUGCUUGCCGGGAAACGCUCUGAUUCUUAAAUGUUGAACCAGGUGUGUAAAAGCAUUUCUGUACUUUUCUAUUUGCUUUAAACAGGAACAAUGAACAACUUCAACAAGAA